rnacentral:lncRNA from 1 species
UUUAUUUAUUUUUAAAAUAGAUAUAAUUUUUGGGGCAAAUAAAGAAUUAGUUUAAUUUUGUAUUUCGAUAAGAAUCGAGAUAUUUAGAAAAAUAAGAAAAAUUAUAUUUAGAAGAUUGGCCGGAUUGGAAUGGUACGAAUAAGAGUAAUUAUAAUUGAAAAUAAAAAUAAUUUAUCUAAUGAAUAAGCAUCUAAGUAUUAGUAAAAUAAUAUUUUAAUAAGUUAAUAAAUAAAUUAAUUAAAAUUACUAUAUGAGAUGAUGAAGAUGAUGUUAAUAAAUAGUAAAUAACUAUAAAAAAUAAGUCAAUAUGUUAAUACUAAUUAAUUAUUUAAUCAUUUAUAUUUUUAUUUAAUAUAUUAAUUAGAUAAAAUUAAAAUAUUAAUUAUAUAAAUAAUAUAAACAUUAGUUAAUGAUUGAAUAAGCAUAUUAAAUAGCGAACUAUUUAAUUAGAUAAUUAAUUAUAAAUUUAUAAAUAAAUUAUUAUUUAAAUAUUUAUUAAUUUAAUAAGUUAAAUAAUUAAUUAGUUAAUUAUUAAAAAAUAUAAUUGCAUUAAUUAAUUAUAAUUUAUAAUUAUUUAUAACUUACUUAGCAGAGGAAUAAGGUAUAAAAUACCUUGUUGCACCCAAUAGAUGGAACUACUAGUCUCCCAUUAAGAGAAGAAUAGUAAUUCUUAGCAAUACUUUACACUGUUUGAAAGAAUAAGAAAAAUAUAUAUUUUUUUUUAAUCCUUUGAACCAAACAUGGCCUUAAAGAAUAAUAUUUUCAAAAUUAUAUCUAAUAUUUAAAUAAAAGCUAUAAAGAUGUGGAAGCAAUUAAUUAAUUAAUAAUCUAUAAGGUGACAUUUGUGGGGCAGCUCAAAUCAUUUCCUAUUUUUAUAUUUUACCACCAUCAAGACGCGUUUUCUGUGCUUUAGUAAGUUUUAUCGAUUUUGAAUGCAAGGAAAAGGACACAAAGAAUACUUCAUAAGAUAACUUGUAAAUUACGAGGAAAUACGUACUCCAAACCAUCAAUAUAUAUAUAUAUAUAUAUAUAUAUAUAUAUAAAAUUUAGUUAGCAGAAAACACGUAUUUUAAAAAUCAAAGUUUUAACCUCAUUAGUUUGGUUUGAUUCAAAAGAAUUACUCUUGAAAGCUACACUAUGUUCUCUAUAUAUAUAAGAGAGUACUAUAUAUCAGUUAUUUUCUUGUUGUUUGUGUGUUCUUCGUGGGAGCCAUUAAUUCCACGCGGAACUGCGAACUUGCUCGGAAGAAUCAUGUAUGGAGUCUUCUGACUAGAAUCUAGUCACUUUUGGAGCCCAAGUCAGUCAUAUACCCCGGAAAAGUAGUACAAAAAAAUAAGCUACCCACUAUUAUAUAAGGCAUCGACUUGCCUGCAGUACUACAUUAAUAGUUUCAGAGUGAAGUUGUAUCAAACUAGAAACUGGUACGCAUAAGCCUCAUUCAUUUCUCCACGACAUGCCGAUUUUCCUUAUUGCCGUCGAUGAGUCGAUUCCUCCGCCCAAACCCGAGCAAACAUUACAACCAUCACCGCAGUCGACGGUCGGCGUCAAUGUCGACAAUUUCUCGGAUGCAAUCCCUUCUCCGCCUUCCGACAAGUUCUACCGCUUCCUGCCCGCAUCCUCCGUCGUCCUGCUCGCUUUCAUGUUCGUCAUGUCAGCUUAUAAUGCCCGCGGGCAACCGCGUGACAUGUCUUUUGUUUUUCUCUGCUACACCAUUUUGUUGUUCCUUUUUUACUGCUUGCGAAAAUACGAGCGUCUGGGCUCCGACGCACCGCCUCGUCUGAGGAGGUCUCUGAAGGCCGUCAUCCUUCUCCUCGCCACCGGACUGAACGUCGCCUUCGCGUGUCGCGCUUCCGAGCUCGUCCCCUGGCCGUUCGCAGCAGUCAUCUGGGCGUCGGCCGCGUUCGUCGCGUUGAUCGGCUACUUCUCUCUCUUCGUCUGGAGCAACCGAGUCGUCGGCGUCGACGAUGGGGCUUUGCCGUAUAGCAAAUUGGAUGGCAAUAGCAAUAGCAAUAAGAACAACAACAAUAGCAAAGAGGAGGAGAAGCACUUUUUCCACAAUGAGCUCUCUCCGGAAGAAAAAGCUUGAGUUAGGCUCAGGUGCAGGAGGCGCUCUGGGCCGUUCAUUUAUCUCCCAGGUGAUGGGCGGUUGAGAUUGGAUGUAGAUAUUAUUAUUAUUUACAUAAUAAAGCGAAAGCGAUGGACGGCUCCGAUGGCUUUGGCGUGUGAAAUUUGAGAUUUUCGAUCAAGUAAUUAAAAAAAAAGAAAAGAAAAGAAAAGAAAAAUUCCUUGUGUACAAAAAUAAGAUUUGUUGUGCUCUGGGUUUGUGGUGGAAAUCCACAAUAUGUAGUAUGUGUAAGUUGUAUUAAAAAAUUGCUGUGUGCAAUAAAUAGUGUUAUUUAUAUUAUUAUUAGUUGUAGUGUCACAUCAUAUUUUAUUUAUGAACAUUAUAAUCCUUAAUAUCAUAAUAAAUAAUACAUGAUUACUUAGAACAAGCCUUAGCUUCAAGAUUAUUUUACAGUUCAAUCAACUAGCUCUCAGGAGUGGUGAAAAAGAAAGAAAUUAACUACAUAUAACUACCCACUAUUUUCUAUAUAUAACUAUCAAUUAUUUUUCUUAUUUCAUAUUAUCUAUUCAAACGACAUUUUUCUUAUUCCGGAAACAACCCAAUUUUCAUCCAAAUGCUAUUUUUCUUAUCCCAAUACUUGUACAUAUUCCUGUAAUAACUAAUUCUUGCUUAUACCCGAACCAAACGAAGCCCUAAGGAAUAACACAUCUUGCAAAUUGCACCUUAACUAAAUAAUAAUAUAUUUGUAUAUGUUUUUGUCCCAAAUUCUUUUAGCUCGACAGCAUUAGUUGGCCAUGGGCAUCGAACGAUCAUGCUGUACAUUCCUAAUUUGUUUCAUAGUCGAGUUUUGUUAAUCGAUUCGCGCGCUUGGAUCAAGCUCCAAUUUCAUCCUUCUUCUGACUAAGGUGUAAAUAGCCGUCCUGAGUAAUCCUAUUCCCACUCUCGAGAGUAGGAGCAAUUAGAAUUUGAACUAAAUAUUAUUAGUUGUUUUAAAACAGUGUUAGUAUUAGAAUAGGAGACUGCUGAGUUUAUUUAAGGUGAUUAAUUAAAAUGCAAUAACGUGGGCGCUUAAUGGCCAAUGGAAAUUAAUGGCGGUGGUUAGUUGAUUGCGACAUUGUGGUCAUAUUUUGUGUCAAAGCCUCUGGUUGGCAUGUCACUUAAUAAGUUGACGUCUAAGCUGUUCCCAUCUCUGAUUAAUAAUUCAAAUUGAUAUUAACUUAAAUUUAGAAUAAUUUAUUUCAAGUUGAACAUAAAAUAAAGAAAGAGAUGAACAUCCUGUAAUCUAUGAUGUAAUUAAUAUUUAUAAGUUGAUAGUUUCAAAUAGGAUUGUCAACGAAUACAACACGAGCGAGCUAAGACCUGCUCGUGCUCGACUCGUUUUAAUAAAUGAGUCGAAUAAGAACUGACUCGUUAAAAUAUCAAUUUAGAAAAUUCAGUUCAUAUUUGACUUAUUAUUAACAAACCGAACACAAGUUUGCUCGUAAAUAAUAAGUUAAAUUGUCAGUUUUACAAUUAAAAAAAAAGUUAGAAAAAAAUAAAAAAUAAAAAAUUAAUUUAAUAAUUAAAAUUUACAAAAUAUAGCCAUUUUACAUUUGAGCCGACAUAGAAUCCAAAUAUCUAUAUACAAAUCAUGGCAUUAAUGAUGUUGCAUUUUUGGCCAUUAGAUCAUUCCUAGAAUUCUUGGAUCACGCAUAAUGGUAUGCACCACAAGUAACGACAAUUGGUGACUUUUAAUCCGAUGGCAACAAAAAAUGAAUUCAAAGGUUAAAAAAAUUAAAAGCACCUAAGGCUUUAAUGCUUUUAAAAGUAUUUCAAAUGAGCUUUAUAUAUAUAUAAUAGUGCGUGUGUGCAUCAAAGUCAAAUAGGAGGAAACUGAAAUUAAAAUUUUAUGCUGAAAAAUUGAGCUCGUUUAUUAAACAAGAUACCGAUCACUUGUUUAUUAAAAGAGCCGAACAUGAAUUGGCUCACGAACAGAAAACUAAAUUGCCAUCUCUGGUUACAUAUAACAAGUUUAGGAAAUAAACUAGGACUCUAGUUUUCUAAAAUUUUUACAUAGAACGUACCCGACAAAAUUCAACAAAAAUCUCAGCAUAUGCAGGACACGAAAGUUACAAUAACAGAUACACGUUCCGCAUUUUACUCUCCAAGCUAUUGUACAUACAUGUGUGUCCAGAGAUAUUAGAAAAACUAAAACACCAAACUCAAAAAGAGAUUGAUACAUACAUAUAUAUAUAUAUAUAUAUACAUAUAUAUAUAUAUAUAUAUAUAUAUCCAAUGGCUAAAAACGUGAUAGCAACAUGGGGAUGAUACUUGUAAAAGUAUCCUAGAUCAACUAUAUAUAUAUAUAUAUAUAGUAGGAUUGCUGUGCUCUCAGGAACAUAGAGGCCUCCGUGCUCCUGAGCCAUUUUCGAUAAUGGAAUUUCCGAAUCGACGAUCGGCUCUGUUAAAUUUGAUCUAGCGUAUUUGAAGUUUGUAGAAAAUAAUUUUUGCGCUUUUUCGAUAUCAUAUACCUAGCAAUCGAAAGGAUUCAAAAUCAUUAAUUUUUAACGGCUGAAAAUAAAAAUUCUAUAAAAAGUUGUGAUAUAGCACUAAAAUUUUCGAUCAGAAAUAUUGAUCUUGUUGUAGAUAGUAUAAAGAAUUUUGUAUCAAAAUUUCAUCUGAUUUGAAUACUUCUAUACCGUUAAACUUGAAAACGACAGAUAUCAACCAUUAAAAAUUAUAAAUUUUGAAUCCUUUCGAUCACUAGAUAAAUGAUAUCAGAAAAUCGCAAAAAUUAUUUUCUAGAAACUUCAAAUGCGCUAGAUCAAGUCUAACGGAGCCGAUCGUCGAUUCGAAAAUUUCAUCAUCGAAAAUGGCUCAGGAGCAUGGAGGCCUCCGUGCUCAUGAGAGAACAGCAGCCCUGCUCUAUAUAUAUAUAUAUAUAUAUAUAUAGAGAGAGAGAGAGAGAGAGAGAGAGAGCUAUAUUGGAAGAGCAUGAAAUAUCCAUGCAUUUUACCCUUACAUGCUCUACGUACGUAUUCAUCCGUCGUUGUUCGCGAGCUCGGCCUUCGGGUCGUCAUCCCUAUAAAGGAAGAAACCAUAGAAGCCCCCGAGGAUGGUCGCGGCCGCCAUCAACCACACUAGCACCGCGACCGGCCACGGCAUCAACCCCGCCACUCUGUUCGAGAACAUGGCCGUGAGCAGCGUGGCGAGGAGCCACACCGCGGACUUCAGCCGCUCCCUUUGAGGAGAGUUCGGAGCAGCUCUUUCGAACUGCCGCAAGCACCAGAAGAGAAGCAGAAGAUCCAAAUAAGAGACCACAACGAAGACCGCCAUUCCGCGGUCUCCGUUGGAAUGAUACACGGCGGUGAUCGAGUUAUACGUCAAGAAGAUAAAGCCGAGGAGGGUGAACCAGAAAUAACCAUCAGGGUCCAUAUGAUUUAUCAGACUAGCGAUGAACCCGCGCUUUGCAUACUCCAGACUAAAAAUAAAAAUAUUGUUGGUUGAGACCGAAAGAUUAAUUAAUCAAUACUCACAACUCUUUGUAAAAAAAUACUAAUAUUCGGCUAUGAAUAUUACAUUUUGAUUAUCGACCGUCCCUAGCGCAAUUGGCAAAAGGCUUAAUGAUUGGUAUCCAAGAUUUCAAGUUCAAAUUCUAUUUGAUUUAUAUUUUCAACUAAAUUUAUUUCAAAAUAAAAUAAACGAAACGGAUAACAUUCUGUCUAUCUCUUANAGUUCGAAUUCUAUUUGAUUUGCAUUUUCAGUUAAAUUUAUUUCAAAAUGAAAUAGACGAAACAGAUAGCAUGCUGUCUAUCUCUUUUUAAAAAAAAAAAAAAAACAUAACAUUUUGAUUUCGGCCCAAUAUAGACUUUUAGAUAUCUCACAACAUAACUUGAGUACUCUUGCACCGACCGUCGUUAGCACAAGUGGCAAAAGGCUUUAUUGUUGUAUCCGAGGUUCUAAGAUCGAAUUCUAAUUGAUUCGUAUUUUCAACUUAGUUUAUUUUUUAAAAAAAUAAAUGAAGCGGUGGUAGCAUGCUACCUUUCUCUCUAAAAUAAUAAUAAAAAAAGAACUUAAGAGUACUCUCGUAGCAAUCAGUUGGAUAAUUUAGUUGGAAAAAAAAAAUCUAAAUUUUAGGAAAUGUAAUUCAAACUCCGUGGCGGUCAUCUCAAGGAUCAAGAAUUUUGUGGGACAAUGGACAAAUUUGCUGUUCGUAAGUGGUGCUUCUUUUGUUUGCUAGAAUUUUUUUUCCCUUUUACUUAUUUUUUUCUCUUAUGUUCUAUUUCUUCUUUUCCCUUAUUUUCAAAUUUAUAGCUAAGUUUACUUUAAUCAAUAAAUGAAACAGGUAGUGUACCGUCUUAUUCCAAAUAGAAAAAAACUUAUCGAGACUAAUGACGCAUAAUUAAUCUCUAAACAUGCAUGCUCCAUUAAAUAGAAACUUAUAAAAAA